GACGAAGGUGGCGACCGUUGUUCGGAAUCACUGGGCAUAAAGAGCACGUAGGCGGCAAGGUAUGUCGGGUGUGAAAUCCCUCGGCCCAACCGAGGAAUUGCGCCCGAAACUACCUUGCUUGAGGAUGGAAGGGGAGCGUGGAAUUCCUGGUGGAGCGGUGAAAUGCGUUGAUAUCAGGAGGAACACCGGCGGCGAAGGCGACGCUCUGGUCCAUUACUGACGCUGAGGUGCGAAAGCCAGGGGAGCAAACGGG
rnacentral:rRNA from 1 species